rnacentral:rRNA from 1 species
UACGGAGGGUGCAAACGUUGCUCGGAAUCAUUGGGCGUAAAGCGCACGUAGGCGGUCCGGCAAGUCGGGUGUGAAAGCCCUCGGCUUAACCGAGGAAGUGCAUUCGAAACUACCGGACUUGAAUCCGGGAGAGGGAUGCGGAAUUCCAGGUGUAGCGGUGAAAUGCGUAGAUAUCUGGAGGAACACCGGUGGCGAAGGCGGCAUCCUGGACCGGCAUUGACGCUGAGGCGCGAAAGCCAGGGGAGCAAACGGG